UUGGAAUGUAAAAAAUAAAUUAAUAAAAAAAAAACAGCCUGGGAACUGUCCCAGUAAGUAAAGUGCUUGCUACAUAAACAUGAGGGCCUGACUUUGAUCUCCAGAUCAAACUGGGCACAAUAGCAUGUGUCUGUAAUUCCAGUGCAAUUCCUCCAUAAGAGGAAUUGGAGGGGACAGAGACAGGAGAGUCCUUGGAAUCUUGAGAGCCAACUAGCUUUGUGUACACAUUUGCAAACCUUAAUAGACUGUGUCUCAAACAAGGUGGAAGAUGAAGUGUGACAUUCAGUGUCCUCGGACUUCUCUAUGUACACUGUUGGCAUGUGCACACAUACAUGUAUGUUUCAAAUAAAUUUAAGUAAAAGAUAAAAGAUAAGUGUUCAUAUUCUAUCUAGAUCCUUCUGGCAUCUGUGAAAUAGGACACUGAUGACUGACUUGGACUCGAAAGGUUGUAGGUGAGGCUAUUGGUGCCCUUCAAAUGACUGUUUGGAGAGCUCUGGACAGCUGUGAUGGUCAGAAGUUACACCUCUGUGCCUGAGGGACUUUUCAGAAAUGAUGCCUCCCUUCCUCCUGCCCUGAAGACUGUCAAAGUAUUGGCAAGAUAGAGAGAGUGGCCUCAACAAAUAAGUGAUGGAUGCUGGAAGCUAUGAGAAGAAAAUACUUAGGAGAUGACUUGUCCCUCUAUGAAGAAGCUGCCUUGGCAUGAAUACAUGACAUUAAAGUGAUUGGCGUUGACUUUGAACCCUUUCUGGAUUCUUGAGACGCGAAUGCAACACCUGGCCAGAGAACUGCGG
rnacentral:lncRNA from 1 species